UCUUCGGAGAGUUUGAUCCUGGCUCAGGACGAACGCUGGCGGCGUGCCUAAUACAUGCAAGUCGAGCGGACUUGAUGGAGCUUGCUCCUGAUAGUCAGCGGCGGACGGGUGAGUAACACGUGGGCAACCUGCCUGUAAGACUGGGAUAACUUCGGGAAACCGGAGCUAAUACCGGAUACGUUCUUUUCUCGCAUGAGAGAAGAUGGAAAGACGGUUU
rnacentral:rRNA from 1 species